AUUGAACGCUGGCGGCAGGCUUAACACAUGCAAGUCGAGCGGGGGAAGGUAGCUUGCUACCGGACCUAGCGGCGGACGGGUGAGAAAUGCUUAGGAAUCUGCCUAUUAGUAGGGGACAACAUCUCGAAAGGGAUGCUAAUACCGCAUACGUCCUACGGGAGAAAGCAGGGGAUCUUCGGACCUUGCGCUAAUAGAUGAGCCUAAGUCGGAUUAGCUAGUUGGUGGGGUAAAGGCCUACCAAGGCGACGAUCUGUAGCGGGUCUGAGAGGAUGAUCCGCCACACUGGGACUGAGACACGGCCCAGACUCCUACGGGAGGCAGCAGUGGGGAAUAUUGGACAAUGGGGGGAACCCUGAUCCAGCCAUGCCGCGUGUGUGAAGAAGGCCUUAUGGUUGUAAAGCACUUUAAGCGAGGAGGAGGCUACUUUAGUUAAUACCUAGAGAUAGUGGACGUUACUCGCAGAAUAAGCACCGGCUAACCCUGUGCCAGCAGCCGCAGUAA
rnacentral:rRNA from 1 species